AAGUGGUUGCAUGAUGUAUGUUCACGGUUGUGUGCGCGAACAAUAAUAGGUGUUUGGCUGCCGUCCAAAACAGUCGACUAGUAUUUUAUUUUUAGUUUUUCAAUUAAGAUAACUUUACAGCUUAGACAAGAAAGAUGGAUACAUCGAAAAUUCGAGAGAUUUUUGGAUACGGGUUCCGAAGCGGAAUUAUCGCUGCAGAAACAGCUCGCAAUAUCAAGGUUGCGUUUGGGGAGGGAACUGCUAGUAAACGCUUUCGUAAUGUAAAUUUUGAUUUGAAGAACAAACCACGUGGAAGAUGUGAAUAACAAUGAACUGAAAGAGAUGGUGGAAGCCGAUCCGAGGCAAACUCUCCAGGAAUUAGUGGCAUUGUUUAACGUUACCAUACCAACAAUAUAGACUCAUUUGCAUAAAGUAAAAUUGAAAAUAUGAAAAAUGGGUGCCUCAUGAUUUGACUGAUCUGCAGAAAAAUACACAUGUUGAAACUUGUAAGUAGAUUCUUUACGAUAACCGUAAGCGAAAAAUGCAAUGGUUGACCCAAGGUAAGCGCCGCAACAGUGUCCUAUAGCAAAGCUUACCAAUAAAAAGAUAAUGGUAACUGUUAGGUGGUCUCUGCAUGGUGUUAUUCACUAUAGCUUUCUCCGAUCUGGUCAAGUAAUAACGGGAGAUGUCUAUUGUGCCGAACUUCGAGCACUGAUAGCAGAACUUGCAGUGAAACAGCCCCGACUCAUGAAUCGAUCUUCACCAUUAUUACUGCAUGAUAACGCGAGACCUCAUACAGCACGAGAAACCGUUUUAACUCUACAGGAACUGCAAUUAGAAACCAUUCGUCACCUUCUGUAUUUGCCUGACCUUGCUCCAACGGACUACCAUUUUUUUCGUAAUUUGGACAAUUUUCUACCUGAAAAAAAGUUUUCUUCCCAGGAGGCAGUACAAAAUGCUUUCACACAGUUUGUAGAAUCUUGAUCACCAGAGUUAUAUCGCAAAGGCAUAAAUGACCUUCCUAUUAGAUGGUAGUAGUGUAUGUAUGGUAGAUAUUUUGAUUAAAUAAAUGUAUUAAAUGAAAAAAAAAACAAA